rnacentral:rRNA from 1 species
GAUGAACGCUGGCGGCAGGCCUAAUACAUGCAAGUCAAGGGGCCCCGCCUUUGGGCGGGGCACCGGCGGACGGGUGAGCAGCGCGUACACAACGUGCCCCUGACCGGGGGACAGCGGCGGGAAACUGCCGGUAACGCCCCAUGGCGCCGCGGGGCGGCAUUGCCCGGCGGCGAAAGUUUCGGCGGUCGGGGAUCGGUGUGCGUCCGAUUAGGUAGUUGGCGGGGUGACGGCCCACCAAGCCUGCGAUCGGAGGGGGUGUGAGAGCACGGCCCCCACCA